rnacentral:misc_RNA from 1 species
AACUGGUCUACUCCUCUCCAAAAAUUACCAUUUUCUGUCGUCAAAGUUUUACAGAGAUUAGAUGUUGACUCAAAAUGGAAAGAUUUGGCUGCACAAACAGGUUAUACAGUGGAACAGGUGGACAGUUUGGAAGCAUAUACAGACAAAGACGGAGGCCACGUUCAAAAACUAUAUAGAGAUCUUCAGACAAGAUACAAUUUCACGUUAUGUCAACUUGUAGAUGCUCUGCAGAAUAUUGAAAGAUUAGAUAUUUUAGAUGAGCUUAGUCAUAUUGAAGAAUUUAAACAUUUAGAAUGGUCCAAACGAAUGACUCCUGAGAGUUCAUUUGAAAACCAAAUCUUGCAGCCUUCAAUUGAUAAUCAGAUUAAAACGGCGCUACCGCAAAACAUACGGUUAAUAAAGAGAGAUGAAAACAAAUCGGACUGCACAUACCAGAAGGCAGAGUGUAAAAGUGAUGUUUCAAACAGAGAAGUUUCGAACAAGAAAUUAUGUACAUCUAACGAUGAAAGUAAUUCUGAGAGUUCAGUGAAAAGAAUUGUGACAGCUUUAGGAGUGAUAGCUGUAUCUUCUUUUAUUUUUCAUCGCUGCGUUUUCAGAUAGAAAAAAAUGUUUGUUAAUAUAAUCCUCAGAAAUAAAGACAAGUAUUCA